rnacentral:lncRNA from 1 species
CUGCUCCCUGUUGCCCCUACCCUGAGCCCCAGGGACCCCAUGACCUGGAUGAUGCACCUCCUUGCCAGCGUGCCAUUCUCCUGUGAGUGUGGGGGUGUCGCACUGUGGUUUUAAUUUGCACUCUCCUGAUGACUAGUGAUGUCGAGCAUCCACAUUGACAAUGAAGCUCAUUUCCAGCCUCCUGAGCCGUUCCGGAACCUCCAGGCAUCAAAAGCCCAAGCGUCCAGCUAGGGUCCUGGGGCGCAGUGGCAGUGGUGCCCCUCCCUGUUGACCAGCGUCUUGCUGCCUAAGGCAAGCGGCGUUACAGGUGCGCCCACACAGCUCCCUGACGUCCCUUCUCCUGGCUCCCCACGCUCCCCACUGCCACAGUCAGGGUGCCCCCCAGGACACCGGAUAUUGGGAAGGAUCUGGACGGAGCCAACAGAGGAAUGCUCACCACCCAGAGCCCCUGGACUCGAAGCUACUGUGGUCUGGGUGGCCCCUGGCUGGGGGGCUUCUCAGCUGUCAGAGGAG